AUUGAACGCUGGCGGCAUGCCUUACACAUGCAAGUCGAACGGCAGCACGGGUGCUUGCACCUGGUGGCGAGUGGCGAACGGGUGAGUAAUACAUCGGAACGUACCUUAUCGUGGGGGAUAACGCAGCGAAAGCUGUGCUAAUACCGCAUACGCCCUGAAGGGGAAAGCGGGGGAUCGCAAGACCUCGCGCGAUUAGAGCGGCCGAUGCCUGAUUAGCUUGUUGGUGGGGUAAAAGCCCACCAAGGCGACGAUCAGUAGCUGGUCUGAGAGGACGAUACGCCACACUGGGACUGAGACACGGCCCAGACUCCUACGGGAGGCAGCAGUGGGGAAUUUUGGACAAUGGGGGCAACCCUGAUCCAGCAAUGCCGCGUGAGUGAAGAAGGCCUUCGGGUUGUAAAGCUCUUUUGUCAGGGAAGAAACACCGGCUCUAACACAGUCUGGGAAUGACGGUACCUGAAGAAUAAGCACCGGCUAACUACGUGCCAGCCGCCGCGGUAA
rnacentral:rRNA from 1 species